rnacentral:misc_RNA from 1 species
GAAAUGCGAUAAGUAAUGUGAAUUGCAGAAUUCAGUGAAUCAUCGAAUCUUUGAACGCACAUUGCGCCCGCCAGUAUUCUGGCGGGCAUGCCUGUCCGAGCGUCAUUUCAACCAUCAAGCCCCCGGGCUUGUGUUGGGGACCUGCGGCUGCCCGCAGGCCCUGAAAACCAGUGGCGGGCUCGCUGUCACACCGAGCGUAGUAGCAAUCACCUCGCUCAGGGCGUGCUGCGGGUUCCGGCCGUUAAACAGCCUUACAAAACUCAAGGUUGACCUCGAAUCAGGUAGGAAUACACGCUGAACUUAAGC